rnacentral:rRNA from 1 species
CCUACGGGGGGCUGCAGUGGGGAAUAUUGCGCAAUGGGCGAAAGCCUGACGCAGCAACGCCGCGUGAGUGAUGAAGGCCUUCGGGUUGUAAAGCUCUUUCGGUUGGGAAGAAGGGUGUGCGGGCUAAUAUCCUGUACAUUUGAUGGUACCAAAAGAAGAAGCACCGGCUAACUUCGUGCCAGCAGCCGCGGUAAUACGAAGGGUGCGAGCGUUGUUCGGAAUGACUGGGCGUAAAGGGUUCGUAGGCGGGAGUGCAAGUCAAGUGUGAAAUCCCCAGGCUCAACCUGGGACGUGCACUUGAAACUGCAUUUCUUGAGUCGAGGAGAGGGUAAUGGAAUUGCUGGUGUAGGAGUGACAUCCGUAGAGAUCAGCAGGAACACCGGAGGCGAAGGCGAUUACCUGGCCGAAGACUGACGCUGAGGAACGAAAGCGUGGGGAGCAAACAGGAUUA